rnacentral:rRNA from 1 species
UACGUAGGGCGCAAGCGUUAUCCGGAAUUAUUGGGCGUAAAGAGCUCGUAGGCGGUUUGUCGCGUCUGCCGUGAAAGUCCGGGGCUCAACUCCGGAUCUGCGGUGGGUACGGGCAGACUGGAGUACUGCAGGGGAGACUGGAAUUCCUGGUGUAGCGGUGGAAUGCGCAGAUAUCAGGAAGAACACCCGUGGCGAAGGCGGCUCUCUGGAACGCAACUGACGCUGAGACGCGAAAGCGUGGGGAGCAAACAGG